AUGGCACAAGGACUCCGCCGGAUCGACCCGCUCGUCUUUAAUGAGGAUAUCGCUCACAACUGGGAGAAGUUCAAGCGGGAAUGGCAUGUCUAUAGCAACGCCGGGCUGGCGACGGCUAGUACGAAAGUGCAAGCCUACACGUUUCUCAACCUCGCCGGUCCGGAGGCAUUGGAUAAAUUCGACACAUUUGAUUUUGCGGCCGACGAGGAUCGCGAGGACCCUGCCGUGCUGGUAAAGAAAUUUGAGGAAUUAUGCCUGCCGGUAAAGAACGUGAUUAUGGACAGACAUGCAUUCAACACAACUGACCAGAAACGGCAUGAGUCAAUCCAGUCAUAUGUUUCCGCGUUGAAGGUCAUGGCCAAGAAAUGUGACUUCGGAACACUGCAUGAUGAACUGAUUAGAGAUCGUUUGGUCUGUGGUAUUCACAAUGACUCUGUCCGUGCACAGCUUUUAAAGGAGAAGAAACUGACGCUUAAUUCGGCCGUUGAGAUCUGCAUGCUACACGAACGAUCUGAGAAGGGCAACAGAGAACUAAAAAAGGAAGCAGAGGUGUGCACAGUGCAAUUCGACCCAUGCACAAACUGUGGUGGCCAACACGCACCAGACCGGAACAAAUGUCCAGCGCUCAACAAGCGCUGCAACACGUGUGGAAGAAUGAACCAUUUUUCUAGAUGCUGCAGAUCAGGCAAACCGUUUGCCCCCAACAGGCCAGGGCAGGCUCCGCCCCCCGCUGCACGCAGAGGCAGAUACACACACGUGAGUGAACUUGACACGCAGCCACUGCAAGGGCCAACUGAUGUGUUUCACUGUGAGACUGUGGAAAUGUAUUACUGUGAGAGCAUAGACAAGCCAGAGGAUGUGCGUGGACAAGAUGAGAGGUUUGCUGAGCUGUCUGCAUGCAACACUGGCAGACAACUGACUGUGAAAAUUGACACUGGGGCCAAAUGCAACGUCAUAUCCAGGGCUCUUCUACAGUACAUUGAUCCUACUGCUCACGUCAACCUCAACAAAAAAGCAAAUCUUGUAGCGUACGGAGGUCAUAUAAUCCAGACUCUUGGUGCGGCAGACAUGGUUUUUAGUUGUGGUUUGCUAAUGCCGCUUUUCCACCGCACAUGUAGCUCGACUCGACACGACACGACUCGACACGACUCGACACGGUAG
rnacentral:lncRNA from 1 species